rnacentral:rRNA from 1 species
CCUACGGGUGGCAGCAGUAGGGAAUCUUCCACAAUGGACGAAAGUCUGAUGGAGCAACGCCGCGUGAGUGAAGAAGGGUUUCGGCUCGUAAAGCUCUGUUGGUAGGGAAGAAAGAUAGAGGGAGUAACUCGCCUGCAUUUGACGGUAAUUACUGAGAAAGCCACGGCUAACUACGUGCCAGCAGCCGCGGUAAUACGUAGGUGGCAAGCGUUGUCCGGAUUUAUUGGGCGUAAAGCGAGUGCAGGCGGUUCGAUAAGUCUGAUGUGAAAGCCUUCGGCUCAACCGGAGAAUUGCAUCAGAAACUGUUGAGCUUGAGUGCAGAAGAGGAGAGUGGAACUCCAUGUGUAGCGGUGAAAUGCGUAGAUAUAUGGAAGAACACCAGUGGCGAAGGCGGCUCUCUGGUCUGCAACUGACGCUGAGGCUCGAAAGCGUGGGUAGCGAACAGGAUUAGAUACCCGUGUAGUC